rnacentral:tRNA from 1 species
GGAUUGUGGCUCAGUGGCAGAGCACUUGCCUAGCACAUGUGAGACACUGGGUUCGAUACUCAGCGCCA